GAUGAAGAACGCAGCGAAAUGCGAUAAGUAAUGUGAAUUGCAGAAUUCAGUGAAUCAUCGAAUCUUUGAACGCACAUUGCGCCCGCCAGUAUUCUGGCGGGCAUGCCUGUUCGAGCGUCAUUUCAACCAUCAAGCCCCCGGCUUGUGUUGGGGACCUGCGGCUGCCGCAGGCCCUGAAAAGCAGUGGCGGGCUCGCUGUCACACCGAGCGUAGUAGCAUACAUCUCGCUCUGGCGUGCUGCGGGUUCCGGCCGUUAAACCACCUUCAUAACCCAAGGUUGACCUCGGAUCAGGUAGGAAGACCCGCUGAACUUAAGCAUAUCAAUAAGCGGAGGA
rnacentral:misc_RNA from 1 species